rnacentral:lncRNA from 1 species
CCAGCGCCAGGAAGGUAGCUGCAUGGGCGCCCCUGAACCCCCAUAACUCCCCUUACCUCUGCACUCCCCCACGCACUCUCAGACCUCCUGAUUGUGCCAGUCUUUGGACCCACUCUGCAGAGACAGAGGAGGUCAUAAAGGGUAUUAUUCUGAGUUCCCAACUUAGAACAUCUUUAAAGAAAGGGCGUGGGAAACCUGUAGUAGAACGGUGUGAGUUCAACCGUUCAGAAGGUUGGGGAACUCAAUCUGAGCUUUGCAGGCUGAGAUUGUUACAUCUUAAAAUUUGACUGGCUACCUAUGGAACAGUAUUAGCCUUGAGUUUUUAAUCAACAAAGUACAGAAAAGAGCAAGUAACCCUAUAAUCGUGAUUCAAGAAUUUGCAAUGCACAAGAAGGCCUUUAAGCACACCAAUUAAACUUAAUUCAAAUUGAAACAAAGAUACAUUUAUCAAAUGGUUAAAAUUUAU